CCUACGGGUGGCAGCAGUGAGGAAUAUUGGUCAAUGGGCGCGAGCCUGGACCAGCCAAGUAGCGUGAAGGAUGACUGCCCUACGGGUUGUAAACUUCUUUUAUACAGGAAUAAAGUGAGGCACGUGUGCCUUUUUGUAUGUACUUUAUGAAUAAGGAUCGGCUAACUCCGUGCCAGCAGCCGCGGUAAUACGGAGGAUCCGAGCUUUAUCCGGAUUUAUUGGGUUUAAAGGGAGCGUAGAUUGGUUGUUAAGUCAGUGGUGAAAGUUUGCGGCUCAACCGUAAAAUUGCAAUUUAUACUGGCAGCCUUGAGUACAGUUGAGGUAGGCGGAAUGCGUGGUGUAGCGGUGAAAUGCUUAGAGAUCACGAAGAACUCCGAUUGCGAAGGCAGCUUACUAAACUGCCACUGACAUUGAUGCUCGAAAGUGUGGGUAUCAAACAGGAUUAGAUACCCUUGUAGUC
rnacentral:rRNA from 1 species